UCAAACUACCAGCUUUACAAUAAUUUACAGCAAUUGUUUCAUCCAGUCAUGCUACUCAAUACUGUUGCAUUACUAUUAGGAGUAGAACUUAUUCUACUCUACUCUGGAUUGGGAGAUGGUGCUUUCACUAACUUUCAGUGUACUGAUGGGCCAGUAUGUGCAGGGGAUAAAAUAGAAUGCAGCUGCACAACAGAUACUGGUGCUCUAGACUGGUUCAUAAGUUAUAGUCCAGUAGAUACUUCAAUGUGGAGCCCAAUCCUAAGUGUUUCAUUUAAUAAAGCUACAACAAAUGAAGAAUAUUAUUAUGGCUAUAAUUUCAAAUUUAAUACAACUUAUACAGGUCUGAACACUUCAAUACUGACCUUUAAUCUUAAUCACUCUGAGAGUGUACGCAUUGAAUGUGCAAAUGGAGAUUAUGGUGAUAAAAUGAACACAAAAGUUACUGAUUUAGCUUACUACAAUGUAAAAUUGGCAAUACAGGGUACAAUGAAGCUGUAAUAAUCACAUAAGAGUUACGUAAAUUUGUUGUUUUGAAAGUUAUUAUGCAAAAGCACCGACAAACUUAACAACAACCUUCAAUCCAAGUGGAGUUACUUUACAAUGGGAGGACACUGGGAAUAACUGUACUUCUACUGAGUAUCAAGUGACUGUUAUUAGUUGUUUAUGUACAUCAACCAGUGUAUUGAUGUAUAAUACUAGCAAGACAGCUUUACAUUUAAGCUCAAGGGAUUUAUUAGAGAAUGUAACCUAUACAUACACUGUUAGAGGAUGGAAUGAACAGGAAAGUAAUAACAGUAAACCAUUCACACUUGCUCCUGUUGAAGUGAUGAGUGUUACAAUAAACAUAACUAAUACUACUGAUCCUUGUAAAAAUAAUAUUUGCUGUAUCAAUGUUACACUGAAUAUAAUACUGGAAUCAUUAGACAUAUGCUUUAAGCAUCCAAAUCAGUACUAUAGCAUAUCAUAUAAUCCCAGUACUGGACAUAUACCUGCAUCAUUUAAAAUAAAUGAAACAGAAUUUGGAAAAUUAAGACUAAACUUCAAUGAGACCCAUUGCUUAGUCACACCAACGAAGCCAAUAAGUAUGUUGUAUGUGUAAUGGUUAAUAUAUUGAGUACUU